AGGGUGUAAACGCUGCAGACUUGGUGUUGGAAGCCCUUUGGGGGCAUUCAGUGCCGGAGAGAAGUUGUUAAGUCUGCUACUUGGGGAGUACGUCCGCAAGGAUGAAACUUAAAGGAAUUGGCGGGGGAGCACCGCAACGGGAGGAGCGUGCGGUUUAAUUGGAUUCAACACCGUAAAACUCACCAGGGAAGACUGUUACAUGAAGGCCGAGAUGAAGACUCUGCCAGAUUUUCAGAGAGGUGGUGCAUGGCGUCAGUGACU
rnacentral:rRNA from 1 species